CGGGACGUGGCGCAGCUUGGUUAGCGCACCGGCAUGGGGGGCCGGGGGUCGCCGGUUCGAAUCCGGCCGUCCCGA
rnacentral:tRNA from 1 species